rnacentral:sRNA from 1 species
GCAAGAGGGGAUCAUUUCCUCCACUUUUUAUUACAGCGAUGCAGGGACAUUCUGUGAAUAGAAUCCUGGGGAGCUGUCAAGUCCGAAUAUGGGUGACUGUAAGGAGAGGGGUUUUGAUCUUUCCUCUGAGAAAGUUGUCGUGGGCCCAUGAAUUUCUUUGAGUUACUUCUAACCUACCACUCUGUUAGCACCUCCGAUAGUUAAGAGAGAGAGAGUUGUUGUUUAAAUUGGUAAGGGAAGCUAUAAAUAACUGCAGAAUCCAGAACCAGCUCUACCACCUUCUGCGCCAGACACAGAGGGCCAGCGGCUUGAGGUCAGAACCCAGCUCUGUCACUAACUUGGGAAAGGCACGUCAUCCAAAGCACCUGUUUCCAUCCUGUGACAGGAGGGGGAAGGACAGCAUGGUCUCUAACCCCAUGACCUCCACUGACUGAUGUCUGCCGAUGUUUUCUUACUGCUACAGGAAUCAAAGAUCAUCGAUGAGAGAGAUGGAAAAGGUGCAGGCUUGUUCAUAACCAGCAAGGUUCAGAGAGCUGGUGGGCACUGAGGAGGUGUCAACUCGUUACCACCUCUUGACCUUGCUAUGUCUCCAGUGAGGAUGUCUUGUCAGCAUCGUUUCCAUAGCGACCAGGACAUGACAACAGAAAAACUCUAUUGGCCCUUGCUGUCCAACCUUGCGUGUCGACACAGGAUUUGACAGUGAGAAGGCAGCUGGGACAGGCUGGUUCACCGUAGAAAUUUGACAGCAAGCGGGACCCCCACCCUCACCCCCAGGAGAUUUUGCUAUGUUCCGGUUUCUACACCAAUUUUGCAUCUGUCAGGGUUGCCUGGGAGCUGACAGUUAAGGAAAUCUUUUUCCCUGCCUGUCUGCUGAGACCUGGAGACAAAGGCAAAGCUACCCCUCACCUCACCUUCAGCCUGAGAUCCUCCAGCAGCUGGGUGAAGAUGCUUCCUAUCGGUGUCCCCAGACUUUCAAGUCUUCAGAGGGCUGGCAGACAGGACUGAUGGAAUAAGCCAGAGUCUUCCUGGCCCUGUACCAAAGCUCACAAAACUCCUGACAGCAUGGCAAUGGACAACCAUUUGGAAGUCUGCCUUUCAGCUGGGGCUUUGAACCCCAGGGUUGGAGGACCCUGGACCCCCUCACUUGAAGCACCACAGAAGCACAGAGGGAGAUGUGUUGCUUGUGUUUCUAAACAUGGAAAUUCCACCAAGAACUUAAGGACAAGAACCCAUUACUUUAUGAAAUCAGACCACAGUACAGCGUCACAUACAAACCUGAUUGUGUUCAGGGGGAGAGAUGGGCAGAUUCUGUCAAAUUGGAUUUAAAAUGUAUUGGAGGCUCUGGGUGUUUGAAGGAACCCCUAGGGUGAUGCUGAAUGACAAUCUUACAGAGAGGGAAGUAAUGCAUGCCUGAAAAUUCUGCUUGGUUCAUAUGUCCAUUCACUCUAUCAUAAAGCAAACCCAUUGUGUGCUCAGCAGUGCCUCAGUGCUGAGUGAUAGGAAGACAAAUAAUA